AUUGUACCUUCAGAUCAAUGCUCAGAUUGAUCGAGCCACACUCGAACCUAGACAUCUAUUUUGUUGGAUGCACUUGAUGUUGUCAUAUUAAUGCUUGGACCUAAUCAAAAUCUUCAGUGGAGGUGCCACAUGCCUGCUGAAGGGAUGCUUGAGGAAAAAUCUGAUUGCUAGAAAUUAUUUGGAGAAAUAAUUGGUUGUGAACCUACCAAUAGAUGUACUA
rnacentral:lncRNA from 1 species